AUGAAGCCGAUGGAUGGGGAUUUGUAAGGAUAUGCAUCAGGUAAUUCUACCCUAACCUUCCAGACGCCGCCUUGAUAGAUACCUACCAAAUUGGGCACAAAUUCAUUAGGCAACGCAGCUUCUCAAAUCAGAAUAGCCUACUAAAAAUUCACUGUAACAAGAGGAUGCUUCAGGUCAACUGAACAACUGAGCAAUCAACCCAGCAUAAAGCUAAAUCAGUAGUUGCCCAAGUGAUCAACAGGGGAAAUUCACGGUUUUACUUCAUAUUCGCUUCCUCUAACUAAAUCUAGAUCAGGAACUGGGACGCGGAUCACCAGCCCAAGAGGCAGGAAGUCAGGUAGGAGAGGAAGCGGGUUGCAAAAGAGGGCUCGUACUUUCUGUCGGCCCCUUGAAUUCGACGAAGAAUUCCUGCAUCCCGUCGUUCACCAUCUCCACCUUGUAGUCGCUCAUCAUCCUGCAACGCCAACCCAAGAGCGCCCCCAAGAAAGGCCAGAUCAAAAACACAAACAAACAGAACCCAUCAAGGUGAAAUUGAAAGACGAAUUAGAGCUCCAAGAUCCUCACAGCUUCAUGAGGUCCAUCUCGCGGCGCUUGCUUGGUGACGACAUCUCGGAAAGCGGAGGUGAACAAGAAGCGCCCCCCUCUCCUCGCCCUCUGGAGUCCGGAGACGCGGCUCCUGCCUUCGGGAUAAGAGGGAGAAAGGGAUUGCGCAGCCCUGUACGGUGCGUCCGCGUCGCCGUGCGCCCC
rnacentral:lncRNA from 1 species